AGAGUGAACGCUGGCGGUAGGCCUAACACAUGCAAGUCGAACGGCAGCACAGUAGGAGCUUGCUCUUACGGGUGGCGAGUGGCGGACGGGUGAGGAAUACAUCGGAAUCUACCUUUUGGUGGGGGAUAACGUAGGGAAACUUACGCUAAUACCGCAUACGCCCUUCGGGGGAAAGCCGGGGACCAGCAAUGGCCUGGUGCUGAUAGAUGAGCCGAUGUCGGAUUAGCUAGUUGGUGAGGUAAUGGCUCACCAAGGCGACGAUCCGUAGCUGGUCUGAGAGGAUGAUCAGCCCACACUGGAACUGAGACACGGUCCAGACCUCCGUACGGGAGCAGCAGGUGGGGAAUAGUUGGAACAAGUGGGGCG
rnacentral:rRNA from 1 species